UACAGGGGGGGCAAGCGUUGUUCGGAAUUACUGGGCGUAAAGGGUUCGUAGGUGGCCAACUAAGUCAGACGUGAAAUCCCUCAGCUUAACUGGGGAACUGCGUCUGAUACUGGAUGGCUUGAGUGCAGGAGAGGAAUGCGGAAUUCCAGGUGUAGCGGUGAAAUGCGUAGAUAUCAGGAGGAACACCGAUGGCGAAGGCAGGUCUCUGGGCUGACACUGACGCUCAUGCACGAAAGCGUGGGGAGCAAACAGG
rnacentral:rRNA from 1 species